rnacentral:rRNA from 1 species
GGCUGCAGCUCGCCUGCAUGAAGUCGGAAUUGCUAGUAAUCGCGGAUCAGCAUGCCGCGGUGAAUACGUUCCCGGGCCUUGUACACACCGCCCGUCACACCAUGGGAGUCGGUAACACCCGAAGCCGAUAGUCUAACGAAAGAGGACGUCGUCGAAGGUGGGAUUGAUGACUGGGGUGAAGUCGUAACAAGGUAUC